rnacentral:sRNA from 1 species
GCUUCUUUCAGCCUCUAAGAACCAAGAACCGUUGACAGUUAGGUUUACGAAUAAGUAUAAGUUCUCAGCAUCGCGGCAUCAUCACCAGCAGCGCGUCAACAAGACAAUGGGCCAAUAAAAAGCAUAAUAAAAUGACAUUUAAGAUUUCAAGCACAAGCGUCAAAAGAAUCUAACGGUAGAAAGAGCUAUUAUGUCAUUAUGACACUUUUCCACCGCUCCACAAGAGAGCCAUGGAUGUGAGCGUUUUGGAAGCGAACGCGAACAAUAUAUGGAUGUAAAUGCCCGAUGAGCUGUAAGAUAUUUCGGCCUGAAUAAACAGGUUCAAGCUGGAAUGCGUGGGAGUUGCCUCCGUCCGACCAACUGACCUUCACUCCAAACACGGCAGCAGCAGCCGAAUUAUAAUAUCAAUAACAGCCAUAAAACGCUUACAUGUCGUUGAACACUUUUGGCCUUUUCACGGCCAUCUAGCCAGCGGCAUUGGCGGCCAAUGAACGCCGCACUGCCGACCGCCAACGUUGCCAGCGUCAGAACAAAUUGAUUUCGACCGGGAAGAUGAUGGUGGGGAGGGGUCCCUAAUUGGAUCGCUACUUGCUGGGCCAUGAGAAAUUGUGAUUUGAUGUGUGUACGAGAGUACUCGUAAGCUGGCAAUGAAAUUGUAGUUCUGAGCUGGCGACGGUGUCGGAGAGCUCAUCGUCUUGGCGCCCUGUGAGGCCACCUGCUCGUAGCUGAUUUAAUUAUGCCUGACAUGCGCACAGCGCACAGCACGGAUCGUCUGGGCCCCGACCCUCAGUUCGGGGUGGCAGUCACCAGUCAAUGGCAGCGCUGUGGCAAGUUGUCACGCGACUCUUCGCCAUCCCUCAUCUUGCACUUGGAAAGCUGAGCUCAUCGUCUCAGCAGAGAUGACGUAAGACAGGCAGGAUGCCAGCCAAGCGGUGGCCAUUAGCCGAGCGCAUGCUGGCUCAGAGCCGCUCAUCGUCUUUAAUGACAAACAUUAAAAAGUACAUAUCUCGAGUCCA